rnacentral:rRNA from 1 species
GUAGGGGCAGAGGGAAUUCCUGGUGUAGCGGUGAAAUGCGUAGAUAUAUGGAGGAACACCGGUGGCGAAAGCGGCUCUCUGGUCUGUAACUGACGCUGAGGCUCGAAAGCGUGGGGAGCGAACAGGAUUAGAUACCCUGGUAGUCCACGCCGUAAACGAUGAGUGCUAGGUGUUGGAUCCUUUCCGGGAUUCAGUGCCGCAGCUAACGCAUUAAGCACUCCGCCUGGGGAGUACGACCGCAAGGUUGAAACUCAAAGGAAUUGACGGGGGCCCGCACAAGCGGUGUCGACGCGGCCG